rnacentral:lncRNA from 1 species
AUGGGUGCUGAUGUGCUGUUUCCUCUGUCUUUGCUGCAAAGUGUCCAGAUCGCUGGAGUGAGUGGGAGAGGCGGAAGGGCAGAGAGGGAAAUAGGACAGUGGCAUCAGCACAAAAGGCAGGUGACUUGGAGAAGGCCAUCCGGGAACUCGGCUGUCACCUGGCUCCCUGCUGUCCGGUUCCCAGCAACAGAGCCUCAGAGAGCGGUCCUAUGGCAGUGGUCCGGAGAGGUGGCCUGGCCCGCGUCUCCCGGCCCCAGCCCCGUUGUGUGAAAUACAGGCUGUCUGUGUUGAGCUCGGGUGCCUCUGACUCUGUUCUUUCGAGAGGUCUGCGGGCAGCCGUGCCGUCUCUGAUCCCCAGGCGCCUGGGACUCGGGACCAGACGAUCACGUCUGCCAUCCUACCAGAGACGCCUCCAAACUCAGACGUAGCAGUAAGUGCUGAGCGGUAUUAUCUUAUUUAUGAGGAUAUGUGACACGCUGCUUAUCCACCACCACCUCUCGAGGGAGCUCCACGGGGUUCCAGAAGCAGUUUUCUGAGCUGCGGGGGACACGGCCAGGGAGGCGGGAGCUCACCCCCUCCCGACAGCUGGGGAAUUGCAGCCCAGAAGGCACGAGUGAGUCUCAGGAGGUGGCAGGCAGUACACGGGUGACGGGGAGAUGGGGCUCCGAGAGGGUCACUCCGCCCCCCGCCGGGUGCCAUGCUCCCCCCACCCCGAGCUUCCUGGACCCUUGGGACUGUUAACUUGCUCCCUGUCCCCACAAAGAAGGCUAGGCACGGUCCAUCGUGGAAGGGCUGGUUCCUGUCCUCACCCGGACACCCUACCUGAGUGGGGGCAACUUUGCAGGAGUGUGGGGGGGACGGGGUCAGGGGCCGUGUGCACACAGGACAAGGGGGCAGGGCAGCAGGUGGGUCAGAGGCGGUGACGUCGUUUUUUGGUGUAUCGUGCAGCAAUCUGGCGUGGCUGUGACCUCCAAGCUCACGGUCAGGGGGCCAGCCUCGCCCAGCCCGCAUGACAGCCCGGUGUGGCACAAGCCGUGCCCUCCAGUUAAGGCGGGUUUAGCCAGCUUGGUCCAGGGGGUGGCGUUCUGUCCGAGGCUGGCCUCAGGACAUUGCCCCGGCAGCUGCGGGCGCCCGCACGGCCGGGGCGGAGACCUCAGGGAGGCUCAGUAGACGGGCCUCGGGGCUCCUUGGCCACAGGGGCUCCCGGAGGGCACCACCCGCGCUGCCUGGGGCCGGGCUCUUCCCCAGCAGAGAAAAAAGGCUCCUUGAGAAUGGCAGGGAUUCCGAACUCCUGACUCCAGAUUUGACUUUCUCAUCAGAGAGAAGCGGUGGGACGGAUUCUGGCCUGUUUUCAGAGAAAUGACUACAGAGGAGAACUACGGGGUCACCGCGGCACCUGCAGAAUUCUUGUUCAGGUCACGCCAAGACUUAGAGAACUAGGUAUUCCCGGGUUCAUACUCGUCCGCCAGUCGCACGCCAGCCGUGUGACCCUGAGCAAGUCCUACGAUGCCCUGAGUCUCCGUUCCUUCCUCGGAGAAGUGGGAAUAUAGUGGUGUCCGCUCCUCAGGGCAUUAAGAGGAACGGGGACGAGGGGCAGAGCCCCGUGUGCGGGCUGUGGCAACGUGGGAACUGUUCACUAUGGCACGCCUUCCAAAGAGACAACGUGCGGGUAACGCAGUCCUCUUUCCUGCACCGGCUCCCAUUACUGAAAGACAGACGGAGU